rnacentral:rRNA from 1 species
UACGUAGGGGGCAAGCGUUGUUCGGAUUCAUUGGGCGUAAAGGGUGUGUAGGUGGCGCCGUAAGUCGGGUGUGAAAUUUCGGAGCUUAACUCCGAAACUGCAUUCGAUACUGCGGUGCUUGAGGACUGGAGGGGAGACUGGAAUUCCUGGUGUAGCGGUGAAAUGCGUAGAUAUCGUAAGGAAGACCAGUGGCGAAGGCGGGUCUCUGGACAGUUCCUGACGCUGAGGCACGAAGGUCAGGGGAGCAAACGGG